AGUGAACGCUGGCGGUAGGCCUAACACAUGCAAGUCGAACGGCAGCACAGAGGAGCUUGCUCCUUGGGUGGCGAGUGGCGGACGGGUGAGGAAUACAUCGGAAUCUACUCUGUCGUGGGGGAUAACGUAGGGAAACUUACGCUAAUACCGCAUACGACCUACGGGUGAAAGCAGGGGACCUUCGGGCCUUGCGCGAUUGACUGAGCCGAUGUCGGAUUAGCUAGUUGGCGGGGUAAAGGCCCACCAAGGCGACGAUCCGUAGCUGGUCUGAGAGGAUGAUCAGCCACACUGGAACUGAGACACGGUCCAGACUCCUACGGGAGGCAGCAGUGGAGAAUAUUGGACAAUGGGCGCAAGCCUGAUCCAGCCAUACCGCGUGGGUGAAGAAGGCCAUCGGGUUGUAAAGCCCUUUUGUUGGGAAAGAAAUCCAGCUGGCUAAUACCCGGUUGGGAUGACGGUACCCAAAGAAUAAGCACCGGCUAACUUCGUGCCAGCAGCCGCGGUAA
rnacentral:rRNA from 1 species